UGGUCUUUUAUUCCAUAUGUAUAGUUCAUAACUAAACACACUUCUUUUAAACUGAUUUUCUUAUGGGAAACUUAACAUGUUUAAUAUGCAUAUAUAUAUAUAUAUAUAUAUAUAUGCAUAUGCUUUGGGUUAUUCUAACGUGUUAAGUUCCACUUUUAUUCUCAGGGCACACCAUAUUUAGUAAAGCUUCUUCUUUCCAUCUGGUUCUGAUCAUUCAAAACCAAGCUGAAAAGCGAUAGCUUAGUUUCAAGGCUUGCGAUGGGCAAGCGGAGGAGAAGGAGCGUAAAUAUUCUUUGUGCUAUUAAUGUAAUGGUGGACUUGAGAACUGUUCAAAUCCUCUUCCUGGGAAUCGACAAGGCCUACAUCCUUGUUUGUAGUUGCAUCUUUAGCUCCAACAUCGGCCUUUCGACCCAGCUGAGUACUUGCCUGACCACUUAAGAUAAGCUUACUCUCCUCCUCCAGGGUAAGCCGUUUUCCAUCUGCUUCCAAAGUUGCCAAAAGAAAGGCCACAGCAAAAACGAUCAUUGCUAAGUUCUUCAUGAUCGGAAAACUCUAAGCCUGAAAUGAAAAAACAAUUAUAAUUUCAUAUAGACAAGCCAGAUAUUCAAAUUAUAUAUAUAAUUAAAAUUAAAAAGAAAAUAAAACUAGGAUUAUGGGAAAUAUACCACUUUCAACUUCGAGGAAAU
rnacentral:lncRNA from 1 species